GUGCCCUAGCGCCCUCGCCUCGACCUCCGCUUCGAUAUGGAGCACCGGCGCCUGGAUGAGGCAACCCUGCCAUGCCCAUCUCUAUCUCCCCUUCUCUCUCUCCAACCCAAAUCAGGCGUCGGCAAACCCUAGCCGUGCGGCCAGAUUGAGGCCGACGAUGAUGGCCGCAGCCUGUGGACGAUGACAACCGCUGCCAUGGCUACAAAGAUGGUCAAAAGCCCCAGGCGAAUUCCAUCUCUUCUCUAAUUUGGUUUAAUUUUGUUUCUGUUUUUCCAAGUCUUAGGCCCCUUUGUUUUUAGCCAAUAAAUCGCAGAGGAGGAAGAGUUUGGAGUGGAUGUCCGUUUCUCUGAAGCCAAUGCCUUUCAGAGGCAGACGAGUUUUGAUCGAGUGGAUGGUGGGUAUGGAGUAUGGACCUCAGAGGUGAAGUAGAACAGAGGGGUUCGAGAUUGAUGGAACAGGAGCACAAAGCGACUGCAUUACAGGUCGGCCUCCUGUUUUAUCUGUGUUGCGUCACGGUCGGUGUCAUGCUCCGCAAGGAUCUACUGAUUGUGAGGUGUCAUCGACUGCAUAGUAGAGGCACGCCUCUGGCCGUCCUGGAAUAGGCGGCGGGCCUGGACGGCAGGCUGUCACAAGGAGCUCGACAGGUCUGACAUUGCAGGCAAGAGAUUGAGGAGAUAGAGCCUCUAUGAAAUUACUCAUGCUCUUAUGUAAGAAAAAGGCUACAGAGCGGCUGAGCGAGGCCCUGCCAUGGACUGCUCGGUUGAUGAGCAUUUCGUUGAAUAUUCUUCAUAGGUUGAUCUUGUGAGGUGAACGCAACAAGUAACAGAUUUGUCUCUACUAUAUACAUCUUAUCAAUAUCCAUCCUCAUGUCGCUAUGAUGAUUGUGGGAGGCGAAAGCACUAAGUAAAAGAUCUGUCUCCACUAUAGACAUGUUAGCAAGGUUCCUACCGCAUGACUUAAGCUGAUAAUAAUGGUUCAGAAAUGUAGAGCGUCAAAGAAGUGGUCUGGGUCUGGCACAAGAAAGAAAGGUGGAAAGUAACUAGACAGAGUGUGCGAAGUAUGGACUAUGCAUAAAAGAUUGCUACAUCAUGAAGUGGUUUAAUACCUACGUUGAACUUUCCAUUUUCUCUUCUAGACGGGGAGCAUGAACAAGAAAGUUGGUGGUGGUGGGAUGAAAAUUGCUCCUAGGCUGGAAGGUCGAUGGAUAUGUUCUGCCUGCUAGAGAUUUGAGAAAGUAUUGAGGGUGGCAACAAAAUAACACCAGUUCUUGAUUGUUUUUGUUUGCCACUGUUGCCCAUCAAACUCAUAUUGCCUCUUGUGCAUAUUGUCCCACACGAUUGUAGGAGCAAGGUUGGACUACCAUGGAACCUCGAAUGUUUUGGUGUUUCGAU